rnacentral:rRNA from 1 species
GGGUUGUGAGGUUAAGCGACUAAGCGUACACGGUGGAUGCCCUGGCAGUCAGAGGCGAUGAAGGGCGUGCUAAUCUGCGAUAAGCGCCGGUAAGGUGAUAUGAACCGUUAUAACCGGCGAUACCCGAAUGGGGAAACCCAGUGUGAUUCGUCACACUAUCAUUAACUGAAUCCAUAGGUUAAUGAGGCGAACCGGGGGAACUGAAACAUCUAAGUACCCCGAGGAAAAGAAAUCAACCGAGAUUCCCCCAGUAGCGGCGAGCGAACGGGGAGGAGCCCAGAGCCUGAAUCAGCAUGUGUGUUAGUGGAAGCGUCUGGAAAGGCGCGCGAUACAGGGUGACAGCCCCGUACACAAAAGCGCAUGUGCUGUGAGCUCGAUGAGUAGGGCGGGACACGUGGUAUCCUGUCUGAAUAUGGGGGGAC